UGAUCCUGGCUCAGAAUGAACGCUGGCGGCGUGGAUAAGACAUGCAAGUCGAACGGAAAUAUGAUUAGUUUACUAAGAUUAUUUUAGUGGCGGACGGGUUAGUAACACGUGAGCAACUUACCUCAGAGUGGGGGAUAGCCUUCCGAAAGGGAGAUUAAUACCGCAUACGGUCUACGGACUAAAGCUAGCUUCGGCUGGUGCUUUGAGAUAGGCUCGCGUCCUAUCAGUUAGUUGGUGAGGUAACGGCUCACCAAGACUACGACGGGUAGCUGUUCUGAGAGGAAGAUCAGCAACACUGGAACUGAGACACGGUCCAGACACCUACGGGUGGCAGCAGUCGAGAAUCAUUCACAAUGGACGCAAGUCUGAUGGUGCAACGCCGCGUGGAGGAUGAGGGCCCUAGGGUCGUAAACUCCUGUCAUAGCAGAGUAAGGCAUAUUAGUUAAAAGCUAGUAUGUUUGAUAGUAUGCUAAGAGGAAGGGACGGCUAACUUCGUGCCAGCAGCCGCGGUAAUACGAAGGUCCCGAGCGUUAUUCGGAAUCACUGGGCGUAAAGGGAGCGUAGGCGGCGCGGUAAGUCAGAUGUGAAAUCUGGAGGCUCAACCUCCAAACUGCAUUCGAUACUGCCGUGCUAGAGUAAUGGAGAGGUAACUGGAAUUCUCGGUGUAGCAGUGAAAUGCGUAGAUAUCGAGAGGAAGACCAAUGGCGAAAGCAGGUUACUGGACAUUUACUGACGCUGAGGCUCGAAGGCUAGGGUAGCGAAAGGGAUUAGAUACCCCUGUAGU
rnacentral:rRNA from 1 species